GGGUGCGACCCUACCAGCACUGAUGCACCGGAUCCCAUCAGAACUCUGCAGUGAAGCGUGGCUGGGCGAGAGUUGUACUAGGAUGGGUGACCUCUUGGGAAGUCCUCAUGUUGAACCAC
rfam:Corchorus capsularis cultivar CVL-1 contig15105, whole genome shotgun sequence.